UUAUAUAUACACAUAUAUAAUAUAUAUUACAUAUAAUUAAUAAUAUAUUAUUAAUAAUAGGUCUUAUUAUCACUCUUACUAUUAUUGUAGAAAAAUGUUAUUUUGUUAUUUAGGUUUCUUUCCCAUUUUGUUUCGUUUGUUUUUUGAGACAAGGUUUCUCUGUGUAGCCCUGCCUGACCUGGAGCUGGCUCUGUUGACCAGGCUGGCCUCCAGUUAACAGAGAUCCACCCAGCUCCAUAAUGCCUCAGAAUGCCUCAGAAAACUCCAGCUGGGGGCUGGAGAGAUGGCUCAGCAGUUUAGAGUACUGAUUGCUCUUCCAGAGGUCCUGAGUUCAAUUCCCAGCAACCACAUGGUGGCUCACAACCAGCUGUAAUGAGAUCUGACGCCCUCUUCUGGUGUGUCUAAAGACAGCUACAG
rnacentral:lncRNA from 1 species